UCCCUCUUAGCUCAGUGGUAGAGCGCGUCACUAGUAUAUCCCGAAACUUCGAGUUUGAUGUAUUAUGACGAGGUCAGUCGUUCAAGUCGGCUAGAGGGAA